rnacentral:lncRNA from 1 species
CAGUACUUUGUAAUCACUCCUGCUUUCAAUGGUUACAUACAGUCAGUGCACUACAACAAAGCUAUUGGCAAUGAACCGUUCAGCUAUGAUGGCUUCAACUGUGGCUUCAAUCAGUUCAGCUUCCCUUGACACCAUGCAUGACAGAUGCCCUGGAGUUGGUGCCUCACUUAGAAUAUAUGUAGGUCGUGCUUAAAACAUACCCGAUGAUGGCUUCCCAAAGUCUGCUUGUCCUGGACCUGGAUAUGGAGGCGGUGCAGCUGGAAACUGGUCGUGUGGCGCAAAUCCAAUGUAGGGUUGCUAAUGUUGAAUUCCGGGUUGCGGCACGGGCGUUGGCACAAAUCCAGAAUUUUGAAUUCCGGGUUGCGGCACGGGCGUUGGCAUAAAUCCAGGAUUCGUUGGGUACGAUAGGCCGGAAGGCGCACUCGGAUUUGCUGGUUGCAUUAUGGGCGUAUAGGGAAGCUGGACUAUAGGUUGAAGAAACAGUGGCGGCUGUUGAGAAGGGUACGGGCCGCUUGACAUGGU